rnacentral:rRNA from 1 species
GACGAACCGUGCGAACGUUGUUCGGAAUCACUGGGCUUAAAGGGCGCGUAGGCGGCUUGCCAAGUCCGGGGUGAAAGCCUCCAGCUCAACUGGAGAAGUGCCUUGGAAACUGGCGAGCUCGAGCGAGGUAGGGGUCGUGGGAACUUCCGGUGGAGCGGUGAAAUGCGCAGAUAUCAGGAGGAACACCGGUGGCGAAGGCGGGUCUCUGGGCCGAUACUGACGCUGAGGAGCGAAAGCGUGGGGAGCGAACAGG